GGUCUGCCUGGGGUGGGAACCGUUUGUGGCACCAGGGAACAGGCCCGAACGGGUCCUGCAGCGGGGCGCAGGUUAUCGGCGCUCUGGCAAGAACGGGUGACCUAAGCAAGCAGGCACCCCCAUAGCAAGGUGAGUAACGGUUUAUAUUCCCUAUUCCCCUUAUAUUCCUAGAAUCACAGAAUCCUAGGGAUUGGAAGGGACCUCAAAAGAUCAUCUAGUCCAACCCCCCUGCCAGAGCAGGGUCACCUAGAGCACAUCACACAGGAACGUGUCCAGGUGUCAUCCUGCCCCGAGGAGCAAGAUGGAAGUGGCUUUGUUGGGUCUGGUCUUGGCCAUGAAUCCUGCUCCAUGUUCAGGUGACUCCAGGUGUCAUUGGAAUGUGCAGAUAUCUCACUUCUCUUCACCAAACUAUUAUAUUCCUAACACAUAGGAAUCCAGAGACGUUGGUAAAGCGUAGAUCCCAGCAAACCUCACUGGGAAUGGGAAAGGCUCAGUGAAGAGUCCUCCACUGCUUUAGCACGUGCAGUAUCCCACAGGGUGCUCCACCAACGAUUCUCACACCGAUUAUUCCAGUAACCAGUUUAAUUUCUUUAGAACUAGCUGAAAAAAAAAAACUGCAUUGACUUGAACAUCGAAGUCUUGUGCCUCUGCCCUUUUUUGUGUUGGUGGAGAAGCAAGGUGUUUCCUUGGUGCCUGUUCUGAGAGCCAGACUCGGGAGAAUUGUUUUCACGUGUUCUUUGUGGUGUGUUUUCCAGCAAGGGGUAUGUUUUUUAUAUGAACAGAUGUAAGAAAUGACACACCAGCUGCUCAGAUUCCAGUCUUUUCCCUUGCCUUUAGGCACGAAGCAGCCUCUCUGGGGCGGGGAGAGGCGCGGGGCCGGGCCCGGGGCGCUGUCGGAGGCCUGGUCCCGCUCGUGCCUUCCCGGCCGGCGUGUCUGGGCCCUGGCGAGGAGAGAGUUGUGGAGGCAGAGUUGACCCUAGAAGAGGAGCUAGAGAGCACCCUGGAGGACGCAGGAUGAUCCAGCUGCUGGGACAGUGAAUGUGAUGGCACCAGCUCAAUCGGGCUGUGGGGAAAUUGGGAUAUCAGAACAGGAGGCUGAAGCAACACUGCAAAAGGGACCUUAACAAGAACGUCUAUCACGAAGAGUCAAACCAACCCAUAAAGCUCUACCAUUAAAUCCCAGCCACUAACCUAGUAACACCUCUUAUCCUAGACCUAGAACACUGCUGACUGGCUUAAAAGGAUCCUAAAACCUUACAUCUAACACUUAACGAGGAAACACUGCUUGAUGUCAAACUAACGAACCAAGAGAAUGAGGGAGGGCCUGUAACACCGAGAGGCAAAAAGCAGUUGAUAGAUGGGGAGAACCUGAGGCAGGCAGCUGGAGAGAUGGACUGUCCUGCUACAGCUCUGCCUAAUGAACGUCCUUGAAGACGCCCGCUUUCAUCUGCAACCCAAAUGUCAUCUCGAUGAGGAGAGUACUUUGGGAAGGGGAGGUCAGGCGGAGCGUGCAGGAGCGCUUGGAGGCCAGCACCUCUGGCUCGUAGUGCCUGAACUGCGGGAAUAAUUUCCAGCACUCGGCCAGCACCCUGUGAAACCAGAAGUAGGUUCUCUCCAGAUCCAGGUAGGGGCCACGGCAGAGGUCGGAGUCCGCGAUGCUGGCAGCCCCAAACCUCUGCAGCUCUUCCUCAGGGGAGUGGCGGAAGCAGAUCAGGCGCUGUCUGCAGGCGCAGCGCUGCCAAACCCCGAUUUUGUAGAAGCCCACGGGCGUCUGCUCCAGGCGGAAGGCUUGUCCGUGGGGUGCCGAGAGGGGAAUGAGCACCUUGUAGACACAGCUGCCUGUGCUGCAGCCUUCUGGGGCGUCCAGGAUGAUGGGUCGCCCCAGCCGUGGCACACAGGUGCGGUGGUACAGUUUCUGGCAGGUGUCCAGAAGUUUGCGCAGCAUGUCCUGCACCGCGGCAGGGGAGUCCAGCGAGGCCAGAGGCACCUUCUGCCAGGCUUUGCACACCAGCCUCUUCUGCGGCUUCUUGCUGGGGCUGCCCUCCUUGCUGCUGCUGCUGGCUGGCUGCCUCUUGCUGAGCCGCCCGCAGAGCAGGAGCAGGGCUGCAGCAAGGGCCCAGGACUGCCACUGCUGCAAGGCCCACCAGACAAAGCCGCUCUGCUGCUGGCUCCUCAGAUGCAGGGCCUUCUCCUGCCUCUCCACCUCCCGCAGCAGCCGAGCCAUCUCCCUCUUCAGCAUCUCCUCUCGCUCCCGCAUGCGCACGCGCGUCUCCUCAUCCAGCCCAUCACCCGCUGGCCGUGGGCCCUGGCUGAGGAUUAGGGCCCCCAGGGCAAGGAAGAGCAGGGCAGCCAUGGUCUGCAGGAGGAGGGAGAGAAGGGCUUCAGUGGGGCUGGCAGGGAGGGCCUGUGCCCCGGCGGGGGCAGCCCCGUGCCCUGCCCAAGGCGCUGCCGCCAGCAGCUGGGCCCUCGGGGCAGGGCCAGAACCCACCCCCCGGGGGCCGCCUUUCUGCCCCGGCCCUGCUCCAGCCCGGCCUCCCCCUGCCUGCGCACUCACCUGGCCAGCUAGCACUGGGGCACAGCUGCUGCUGGCCCUUUUCUAGCUGCCCUCAUUGUGAUGCCAUCGCAGCCACGCCCGCCAACCAGCCCGGCACUGACAGCCCCAAACAACAGACCCCCCCAGACAGGCAGGACGGGGCUCCCAGGGGCUCCCUUUGCAGAGCAGCCACAAGUGUCCCCGAAGCCCCCACCAAACAUCCCGUCGGCUGAGCUGAGCCUGGGCUGCUUUGUCCCUGCACAUCCCCUCCCGUCAGAUGGGACCAGCUCCCUUGGCGCUGGCCUCUCUGCUGCUGGACCAGCCGCUCUGCUCCUGCCUCCUUUCUGACACGCAGGGCCAGGUGACCAGGCCUAGGAGCAGACACUGCCUGCAGAACCUGCUGCUCCUCUCAGAAACUGCAGCUGCUUGCAAGGAACCUCACGGACAAGGAGAAUGACUGAAAAGAGCACGGGUUCUAUCCUGGCCGAAACCACGACUUUCCACCCCAUCUGAUCAAUGUAAUUGGCAUCAUGUAGUUUGCAGAUCAGGGGUCCGUCUUUCUACCUCAAGGGUCGUACAGCCUGUUGAGUUCAUUGCCUAAGCUGUAAGAUUCUGAAAACGAAAUAAAACAUGUUUUAUCUUGA